GAUUAAGUUAUUAAGGGCGCACGGUGGAUGCCUUGGCACUAGAAGCCGACGAAGGACGUUACUAACGACGAUAUGCUUUGGGUAGCUGUAAGUAAGCGUUGAUCCAGAGAUUUCCGAAUGGGGGAACCCAGCACGAGUUAUGUCGUGUUAUCGACAAGUGAAUUCAUAGCUUGUCAGAAGGCAGACCCGGAGAACUGAAACAUCUUAGUACCCGGAGGAAGAGAAAGAAAAAUCGAUUCCCUGAGUAGCGGCGAGCGAAACGGGAAGAGCCCAAACCAAUAAGCUUGCUUAUUGGGGUUGUAGGACACUCUAUACGGAGUUACAAAGGAAUAUAUUAGACGAAUCAUCUGGAAAGUUGAAUCAAAGAAGGUAAUAAUCCUGUAGUUGAAAAUAUAUUCUCUCUUGAGUGGAUCCUGAGUACGACGGAGCACGUGAAAUUCCGUCGGAAUCUGGGAGGACCAUCUCCUAAGGCUAAAUACUCUCUAGUGACCGAUAGUGAACCAGUACCGUGAGGGAAAGGUGAAAAGUACCCCGGAAGGGGAGUGAAAGAGAACUUGAAACCGUGUGCUUACAAGUAGUCAGAGCCCGUUAAUGGGUGAUGGCGUGCCUUUUGUAGAAUGAACCGGCGAGUUACGAUCUGAUGCAAGGUUAAGCAGGAGAUGUGGAGCCGUAGCGAAAGCGAGUCUGAAUAGGGCGUUGAGUAUUUGGUCGUAGACCCGAAACCAGGUGAUCUACCCAUGGUCAGGUUGAAGUUCAGGUAACACUGAAUGGAGGACCGAACCGACUUACGUUGAAAAGUGAGCGGAUGAACUGUGGGUAGCGGAGAAAUUCCAAUCGAACUUGGAGAUAGCUGGUUCUCUCCGAAAUAGCUUUAGGGCUAGCCUCAAGUGAUGAUUAUUGGAGGUAGAGCACUGUUUGGACGAGGGGCCCCUCUCGGGUUACCGAAUUCAGACAAACUCCGAAUGCCAAUUAAUUUAACUUGGGAGUCAGAACAUGGGUGAUAAGGUCCGUGUUCGAAAGGGAAACAGCCCAGACCACCAGCUAAGGUCCCAAAAUAUAUGUUAAGUGGAAAAGGAUGUGGCGUUGCCCAGACAACUAGGAUGUUGGCUUAGAAGCAGCCAUCAUUUAAAGAGUGCGUAAUAGCUCACUAGUCGAGUGACACUGCGCCGAAAAUGUACCGGGGCUAAACAUAUUACCGAAGCUGUGGAUUGUCCGUAGGACAAUGGUAGGAGAGCGUUCUAAGGGCGUUGAAGCAUGAUCGCAAGGACAUGUGGAGCGCUUAGAAGUGAGAAUGCCGGUGUGAGUAGCGAAAGACGGGUGAGAAUCCCGUCCACCGAUUGACUAAGGUUUCCAGAGGAAGGCUCGUCCGCUCUGGGUUAGUCGGGUCCUAAGCUGAGGCCGACAGGCGUAGGCGAUGGAUAACAGGUUGAUAUUCCUGUACCACCUAGCAUCGUUUUAAUCGAUGGGGGGACGCAGUAGGAUAGGCGAAGCGUACGAUUGGAUUGUACGUCNNNNNNNNNNNNNNNNNNNNNNNNNNNNNNNNNNNNNNNNNNNNNNNNNNNNNNNNNNNNNNNNNNNNNNNNNNNNNNNNNNNNNNNNNNNNNNNNNNUGGUUAGCUUCUGCGAAGCUACGAAUCGAAGCCCCAGUAAACGGCGGCCGUAACUAUAACGGUCCUAAGGUAGCGAAAUUCCUUGUCGGGUAAGUUCCGACCCGCACGAAAGGCGUAACGAUUUGGGCACUGUCUCAACGAGAGACUCGGUGAAAUCAUAGUACCUGUGAAGAUGCAGGUUACCCGCGACAGGACGGAAAGACCCCGUGGAGCUUUACUGUAGCCUGAUAUUGAAAUUCGGCACAGCUUGUACAGGAUAGGUAGGAGCCUUUGAAACGUGAGCGCUAGCUUACGUGGAGGCGCUGGUGGGAUACUACCCUAGCUGUGUUGGCUUUCUAACCCGCACCACUUAUCGUGGUGGGAGACAGUGUCAGGCGGGCAGUUUGACUGGGGCGGUCGCCUCCUAAAAGGUAACGGAGGCGCUCAAAGGUUCCCUCAGAAUGGUUGGAAAUCAUUCAUAGAGUGUAAAGGCAUAAGGGAGCUUGACUGCGAGACCUACAAGUCGAGCAGGGUCGAAAGACGGACUUAGUGAUCCGGUGGUUCCGCAUGGAAGGGCCAUCGCUCAACGGAUAAAAGCUACCCCGGGGAUAACAGGCUUAUCUCCCCCAAGAGUUCACAUCGACGGGGAGGUUUGGCACCUCGAUGUCGGCUCAUCGCAUCCUGGGGCUGUAGUCGGUCCCAAGGGUUGGGCUGUUCGCCCAUUAAAGCGGUACGCGAGCUGGGUUCAGAACGUCGUGAGACAGUUCGGUCCCUAUCCGUCGUGGGCGUAGGAAAUUUGAGAGGAGCUGUCCUUAGUACGAGAGGACCGGGAUGGACAUACCUCUGGUGUACCAGUUGUCGUGCCAACGGCAUAGCUGGGUAGCUAUGUAUGGACGGGAUAAGUGCUGAAAGCAUCUAAGCAUGAAGCCCCCCUCAAGAUGAGAUUUCCCAACUUCGGUUAUAAGAUCCCUCAAAGAUGAUGAGGUUAAUAGGUUCGAGGUGGAAGCGUGGUGACACGUGGAGCUGACGAAUACUAAUCGAUCGAAGACUUAAUCAA
rnacentral:rRNA from 1 species